rnacentral:misc_RNA from 1 species
GUUUCUAUUAAAAAAAAAAAAAUUAAAGAACAUCUUAAUAGAUUGAAUAUAAAUAUUCAAGGAUUUAAGCACAUCUAAUACAAAAAAAAGUUUAUUAUCUAAGAUUGAUUGGUCUAUUAUAUAGGAUUAAGAACUCUGUUAAAAUUGUCAUGGUUUCUGUUUCUAAUUCGUGUGUUUUCUUUCCUCCGACUUGAAAAAAAAAAAAGG